GUAUGUCACGAGCGUUAUCCGGAUUUAUUGGGCGUAAAGCGCGUCUAGGUGGUUAUAUAAGUCUGAUGUGAAAAUGCAGGGCUCAACUCUGUAUUGCGUUGGAAACUGUAUAACUAGAGUGCUGUAGGGGAGACUGGAAUUCCUGGUGUAGCGGUGGAAUGCGCAGAUAUCAGGAGGAACACCGAUGGCGAAGGCAGGUCUCUGGGCAGUUACUGACACUGAGGAGCGAAAGCAUGGGUAGCGAACAGGAUUAGAUACCCUGGUAGUCCAUGCCGUAAACGGUGGGCUCUAGGUGUGGGGAUUUUUCACGAUUUCCGUGCCGUAGCUAACGCAUUAAGCGCCCCGCCUGGGGAGUACGGCCGCAAGGCUAAAACUCAAAGGAAUUGACGGGAACCCANCAGCCGCGGUAAUACGUAGGGUGCAAGCGUUGUCCGGAAUUACUGGGUGUAAAGGGAGCGC
rnacentral:rRNA from 1 species